GUUCAUUACUAGAGGAGGUGGCAGCUUAGUGGACUUUGGAUCUGAAGGUUUUAAGUUCAAAUCCUAGCCUAACUAACCGUCUACCCCUGGGCCCCUGAGCAAGGCCCCUAUCCCAUAUCUCCAAGAUAAAAUUGUUUGGACUCUGGCCUACAACAUCCAGGUGGAGAUGAUUUCAAGGACGAGUGCCAGAAAUGUGCUAUUGCAGCCAGAGAUGGACAAGAGUAACUAAGCAAGUUCAACUCUUGGCGCUAUACCGCUAUUUUGCAUCCAACUGGAAAACAUUUCUUUCCUGUUUCAGGACCAUAAGGUUAUGUUCUUCUCUCCAUUCAGACAAUAGCAGGAGACAGAGUGACACGAAGUUCUCAAAGAACAAACAAUAAACAUAAAUGUAAUGCACUUGUCCACAUAACAGGCUCCAGCUGAUAAACUGAAGUAAUUGGCCGUGACUGGCAUUGGCAAGGUCAUAAACAGCCAUAUUAGAUAUGUUGAAUAACUUUGCUGCUGCUGAAACUCAAUUUGUCACUUCCUGUUUUGUCAGAUGAGUAAAAAAGAGAAGUCAGAUCAACUUUACUUGAUGCUUUUAAUAAAGAUUUAAGUAACAAAC